UCUCCAGGAGAAGACGGACCAGCUGGAAAAAGGGAUGCCCCCGACGGGGUGUCUGGGGAAGAGGCUUGAAGAAAAGCCAAAGCAAACAGUGGGUGCAGAUGCUGGGGAGGAGAAUGCAGCUUGACAGGAGAGGAGGUGGGAAACAAUGAGCUGUCCAGAGCACGAGCCGCUUCUGGGAGCAGAGACCAUCUGCUCUUCACCAGCCUGAAUGGUGCCGAGCCGCAUCCCACAUUCCUUUGUUCCCCAGUUUAAAGGGAAUUGCAGGCUGCCAGUGCUGAAAGCCAAACACAGACCCUCAGAGUUCAGCCACAUCUUACCUUUUGUCUGAAUUUCCUCCGUCUCCUUCUCCUGAAGCAUCUUCUCUUGCAGCCAUUAGCUUGUAGCACAUUUUUACACCUCAGAGUCCCGAGUAGGUGGAUGAAAAGCCCAGGAGGAUGUUGCACUUAGCAGAAAUUAAACAAACUGUGCACGCAAGGUGGGAUAGUUGGGAAAGUCUCUGUGUGGCUUUAGCCAGAUAGCUAGGGAAUUCAGAGAGGAUAAAGUGACCCUAGAAGUAUAUGCAGCACGUAAAAGUGGCAGAGGCGAAUAAAUAAAAACUACUUUCAACUCAGUAACCUAAUAAUAAGUCUUAGAGUCGUAAAUCUGGCUAGAUAAUAAUGAUGGGUUGAGCCCGCUCUGCCAGGAGGGGCGAGGGUGCUGUGAGUGGCUGUUAACCUAAAGCAGGGGGACAGAGAUGGAGUGGAGAGCUGUGACAUGUGAGAGCCAGAUAGAGUUUUUAAAUAUUAUUUUUUUUAAUGUAGGGUUAAUGCACGGAUGAACUAAAGCAGCUUCAUACCUCUGGAAAUCAUUUACUUGGCAGCUGGGGGGAAAGGUAUUUUUCUAUGGCAUGUCUUCCAUUGCAUGGCCCUCCUGGGCAGUCGUGCUCUUGGAAAUGGUUUUGUCUCUUGUAAAAAAGCCUGACAUUUUACCAAACACAUUUUGUGUGAUCACUUUUUUGUAGUGUUGCUGGACACAGAUGUCCACACUCGACACAUGCCUUGUACAGAGGAAGCUGCCAUCAGAGGGGGCCCCCCUCUGUCACACAUUAGGGGUGGCACGACAGAGGCAGAGCUAAGUGUUGUGGCUGCUUUUUCCUUGGCUGCUGGUGUGGCUUUUAGUGCUGCAAAAACACUGGUUGUUCUUUUACUGUUUGCAUUUCCUCCUAUCUGUACUCCAUGCAUAUACGUUACGUAUAGAAUAGAUUCUCUGUUUACUUCAGUGAAGUAAUGGACCAAAAUGCAUCCUUUGGGCAUCUUGUGAGCACUCGGUUCAGUUGUCAGUCCCAGGCCUUUUGUGCUUUGCUAGAUUUGCAGUGCUGGCUCUGGGUGCUUCCCGCACCAGAAGGUGUACGUACACCGGGUACACUGGGGGUAUGUACAUCCCCAGCCUGACGCCGUGCCAUAGGCUCCGCACUCAGCGCCCUGCGGCUGCACAGCUCUGCUGGGGGAAGCGGGAUGAUUAAACACCUUUCAGGGUCACACCCACCACCUUUAGUCUCCACGGUGGUAAGAUUUGCAGGUCACUCACCAGGCGCUGUUUGAAUGCCCAGUGGCUUCAUCCCAAAGACAGGAGCAAUAAAGGAAAUUCAGGCUUUUCUAAACUCUGCCCAGCCGCCGGUACCCAAGCCCUUGCAUUGGGAUGGGUAAAACACCGCAUCCGAGAGCAUUUUAAAGGACUUCAUCAAGGUUCGUCUAAAAUCGAGGCACUUUUAAGCUGCAUUAAAUAAACGCCAGCCAGCUGGGCUCUGUCUGGGGAGUGCUCCUGCUCCUUCCCAGGCAGGCAGCAGUGGGGGCAGGACCCCGACGAGCCCGGAGCUGGAGCCGCCAGCCCCACGCAGGGACGCCGGUGGGUUGCUGUUGGCUGGGUGUAGAUGCAGGUGCAACCUCUGGCCCCAUGGAUGUCCGUCCCUGCACGUCACCUGCCCUUGCUGCCUGGCUCACAUAGGAGUUUAAGUUUGGGUUGUGUGGGUUUUUUGCCUUGUGGCACUGCUCUGUGCUUUGAACUUUGUUUCUUGCUGGUUUUCCCCGACUCCUUCAUUCUGCUGUUGUUUUGUGUUGGGUUUUUUUUUUCAGCAAAAUGAGUUGCAGGCUCGUUCAACAGCGCUAUUAAGGGUUCAGCCGUAACCAGCUCAUUGCUCAGGAUUACCCUGGCUGCAAUCCCGUGCCUGCACAUGCUCCUGUGCGGGGGCUUUCUGCGGGAGCAUGGCUGCAGCGGGGGUCCCGGCUCCCCCACAGGGGCUGAGCACCGGGGGGGGUCCGAGGGCUUCCCACAGGCAGGCUCCUUGCUGCCAGACCAGACCUGCCCGUGAGCAAUCCGGGGUAGGGAUGGUCUUUAUCACUUACCCACCACUAUGUGUGUGGGUUUUUUUGUCGAGGUGGUGUAUUAAACCUUUAUUAUAUUUAUGUAACUCCUGGGGUAAUAUGAUCUGAAUUUAAUUACUGGAGCCAGUUUUCUUUCUGAAUGCAUCUGAAGAGCUUGUCAAAAGCCUGUGGUUAAGUCUUUUGCGCUCAUGUUUAACGCGAUACAAAUGUGGAUGGCUUGGUGUAAACACGUGCACCAGGGCUCUUGGACACUGAGGGCGAAGGCGGCCGUGAGCCCCGUGUCGCUUUGCGGGGGCUUUGCCUCUGCACGGCAGCUCUGUCGGCAAAGCCCUGCAUCGAAUGUGGGCGCCCCGUGAUUUUUGGCUAUGGAUGCAAUACUGCACCGUGUCCCAGCCAGGUUUGGUAGGAGACCACCUGGAAACACCCGGUACAGAGCAUGCAAGGCAAGGAGAAGCCCAGAUAUUCAGGGCUGGAAGCUGGUGCCUCUCCGGCAGCCAGGGAGAGGAAGGAGGAGGAGGAAUCCACUGCAAAAAUGUUCUCAAACAUGGUUGAAUGGGGGUGAGCAGCUCCAAAAGUGAGAUUCUGAGAAAAGCGGUGCUAAAUAAUGACAGGUAGCAGCCUCUGUCUGAAGGGAUAUUUUUACUGGGCCGGCAGCAGGAAGCAUAAUUUUCUUUAAAUGACAUGUAUAUCUAGACCAUGCUGUAAUACAAAGCCAGCCAGGGCGGCGCUUUUCUAAAGUGGGAAAUUACAUUUCGUAAUGCGUACAGCACAUUCAGUGGGCAGGGAAUGCAGCUGGGGGUCAGCAAGUGUUUGCCGGCCGCUGGAUCCAGGGAUGCUGCCGCACACCAGGGCAGCGCAGAUGAAAAAUAUCUGUUUUCUGCCAUGUCCCCAUCAGCAAUGGGGCACGUUUCCCCCUCCGAACUCUGUAGAUUUAAAAUAGGCAUUUGGGUUCUUUUUUUCUACAAACAUGAGGUAUCAUUCGUGGCCAGAAUGAACAUAUAUUUGUACUGAUGUGGCUGUAAUUAUAGUAUUCUAUAUACGUUGUGUACAAUAGAUGUAUUAUCCUUGUACCCCUGGCACUGCUGUUGUUAAGAGGCUAUUGAUGCUUCAGUUACAAAACUUGUUUUUUCCAGAGGUUUCUAAGUUUCCAUAAAAGUCUAUUCUGGGCUGAAACUCUGUGCCAAGUCUUAGGCCAAGAUUGAAAAUUCUUUUCUGAAAUUUUAUUUUGAGCCAGUUUGAGUGUUGUUACAGAAGGUGCAUAAGGGCACAGAGUAAAUUUUUUGUCUUGCGUACUAUGAGCAACUCUGACUUCUAAAGAAUUUGUUUUGCAUAACCAUUCUGGAGAUGCAAAAUGCUGCCAUCCCCAGCAGGGAUUUAACCCCUGUUCUUUAUACACGAGUAUAAAGUGCCGUUGGUAUUGGCCUGUACUUGGUAUUUGUGCCCUGCUUCUGAGUGUCAGGGAGGUUUUUGGUGGCAAAGAGCUCCUGGCUUUGGCACCAGCGGAGCACCCUCCUCAGCUGGGUGCAGCUGCAGGCUUUGGGCAGCAAGUGCUGAAGGAAGUUGGGUUUUGCACGGUUUAUUUUAGUCUCCUUCUAGCCCACAGAAAGAGGCAGGUCUCUAAAUUAGGUGGUCUGAAUUACUUUUGAAGGGCUUCCCUGGCAGAGAAUCCAGGCUCUAGCAUUAGAUGAUGCAAAUACAUCACCCUUGUGCUUAUAUACAGGUUUAUCGAUGCAAACACAUCAUUUCUAUCUCUAGUAACGAUCCCUGGAAGAAAGGAAAGAGCAGUUCUUCAAUGCAGACAGACCCUCAGCGGAGAGGAGGCAGGCUGCUGGCACGAGGCUGAAAACCUGCUGUCAGCGCUGGGCUUCAAGGGAAUCACAACCUGGGAGGACUUGCAGGCACUGGUUUGGAUGCAGGAGGACCGGGGUGUUGGGGGAGAGCAUCUAUGCCCUCUGAGUGCAUGAUGAGGAUAUCUAUGAUUUACAAGUCUAAAUGCUGUUUCUUUUUUUUUAUUUCUGCUUUCUGGAAAGCAAAAGAGCUCUUAGAUGCCAAAGGAAGAGUGUGCCAAGGACUCCCAGCGUCAGUCGCCCCUUGGUGGUGGUCACUCGGUCCGCCUGUGACAGCGAUGAGCCCGAGGUCAGGAGAGCACCUGCAGCACAGAAACAGCAUGGCCAGUGCCCGAGCCAGCUGUUUGCGUGAGAAAAAUGCAUAUAAACAGUAACAAGGAGUGGGCCAGGAGCAGGACUCAAGUCAGUUAAUAAGGAGAUGCUAAGUCCAAAGGAAAAUGUAAAAUAAUUUCUGUAUUUGAAUCUGAGCAAUUUAUGUGGUGAGCCUCUGGUUCUCAGAGGGCUCUGCAAAGCUCUGAUAAAAAGAGAAACAGUGAAAGCGCAGCUGCUUACCUGAAGCUUCUGCAUCGCUGGACAAAAUCAUUCCAACAUUCCUGGGCUUUUUGCAAACUCUCUGCAGAAUGGCAAGAGCAAUCGGAGCAGGCGCGUUCUUUCCAGCUGAGACACAAAAGCCGCAGGGGACAGAAGGGCCACAUCCACCUAACUGAAAUCUGAGAAUAAUGUUCCAGCUCUGGCCAUCGAUUUGUUGUCUCGCUACUGAACUUGUGCUCCCCUCUCAACACAGCACAAGAAAGGACGGGCAGAACCUUCCAUCCUUUGUAUGUUGAUGGCAAGGAACAGGCUGCUGUGCUGCAGGCAUCUCCUACCCGCUGUGCUCCAUGGCCAGGCGUCGCGGGGUUCGCCGUCCUUUCACCAGCAGGAUGAGCAGGGAUGCUACCGGAGAAUUUGGAAAUGUCCUUGGCACUUUUAAUGCUUACUUUUUUUUCUUUUUACUUUUUUAAUGCUUACUGUUUUUUCUUUUUACUUUUGAAAGGCUGAGUCACUACCUACUCAACAAAAGGAAAUUGAGUUGAUCACGUUUCCUUUCUGAAACACGAUGGAUUAGUGCAUUACAACUGCAGCGCAAUGAACUGCGUUUCCAUAAUAUCCUGUUGACAGAACUCCUUAGGUGAGCACCUGUGCACAACUUUCUUUUUUCAAAGAAAUACUUCUGUCAGGAGAUCCUUUAAAAAGAAAGUGGAAGGAACGGCCAUCCACAUCAGGCAGGGAAGAAGUGCCAUUCCACAUGUGCCGCUGUGGUUUCAGAGCUCAUGAUGCGACACGGAGUCCAUCAGCCCAAAGUGAUGAGAACUGGAAAAAAAUCCCACUGCUUCAGCAUGAGCUGUCAGUCAUUUAGGUACAGAAAACAAACUGGAGGCUUACUGGCAUAAGCACCAGCAAAAUGGGGAGUUCAGAUGUUUGAAUUCCUUAAAGUGUUGAAUUCUAUAUUCCAAACUCAAGCGCUGCUUGCUUGCCUAUGCAGAGCAGAAACAGGGUGCUAAGGAGAGCUGGGGACCGGGCAGUCCUGGCGCUGGGUCGCCUCCGUAGGUGCUGCGUACCUGGAAAGCGAGGGCAGCCCCCACGCCCCCGGCACAGGGAGGUGGUGGGGUGCUGCCCUGCAGCUCAAGGACAAAUUUUGCCAUGGUCUGGAUGUCCUCAGCCCGUAUCGCCAGCAGCCGCUUGGGGUUGGACUGGGACCAGCGCAUCACCCCCCUGAUCUCCGUGCACAUUUUUUAAGUAUAAACAGAGACCACCACAAACAUCAAAGUGCCCAGAAUUCGGCUUCUGUUCCAUUUAAUGCUGGAUGGAUCAAGCCAAGAAGUGUUGGGUGGGUUGGGUUGGUUUUUUUGGAAGCUCAAGUUAUGCCAUUUUAUUUACUCAGUCUUCAUUAGGCUAAACUAAAGGGCAUUAUUUAAUUCAGUA